GAGGGUAUAGCUUAAGUGGAGAGUUCAUGCUUAACAUGCAUGAGGUCAUAGGUUCAAUCCCCAGUACCUCCU
rnacentral:tRNA from 1 species